AUUGAACGCUGGCGGCAUGCUUUACACAUGCAAGUCGAACGGUAACAGGCCUUCGGGUGCUGACGAGUGGCGAACGGGUGAGUAAUGCAUCGGAACGUACCCAGAGGUGGGGGAUAACGCAGCGAAAGCUGUGCUAAUACCGCAUGUGAUCUGAGGAUGAAAGCGGGGGACCGAGCAGCAAUGUUUGGCCUCGCGCCUUUGGAGCGGCCAAUGUCGGAUUAGCUAGUUGGUGGGGUAAAGGCCUACCAAGGCGACGAUCCGUAGCUGGUCUGAGAGGACGACCAGCCACACUGGGACUGAGACACGGCCCAGACUCCUACGGGAGGCAGCAGUGGGGAAUUUUGGACAAUGGGCGCAAGCCUGAUCCAGCAAUGCCGCGUGCGGGAAGAAGGCCUUCGGGUUGUAAACCGCUUUUGGCAGGAACGAAACGGUGUCCGCUAAUACCGGGCGCUAAUGACGGUACCUGCAGAAUAAGCACCGGCUAACUACGUG
rnacentral:rRNA from 1 species